rnacentral:tRNA from 1 species
GAAGGCGUGGCGGAAUUAGGUAUACGCAUCCGAUUCUCAAUCGGACGGUAUUGAACUUUGCGGGUUCAAAUCCCGCCGCCUUCA